CAUCGUCCUCCUCAACACCCUGCUCUUCUUCUGCUGCGAGGACUUUGGCUUCACCACGGUGGAGCAGCACCGCCAGCUGUCCUUCACCCAGCUCACCUGCUGCACCAGAACCAACCUGAACCACACCCGGACCACUUCCCUGCGCUUCUGCCGCCCAUAUCCACGGCUGAAGCUCCUCCAGGUGCCAACACGACUGUGAAGAUACAACAGUGAUGAAGAAGAUUACAUCUUAUUACCUCCUCUUAUGUUUGCUUUGUCAUGUUUAUCUGACACAGACGGAGUUCCCGCUACAAAACGAUAAAAGAACACGACAAGAACCCGGAGAACCCGCUCCACUGCCCGGUCAGACUCUGUGAGUUCUACCUCUCCAAGUGCUCUGAGUCGGUGAAGCAGCGCAGCGACUGGUUUUUCCUUCGGUCCAGAUCGCUGCUGUGUUCCCAGCAGCCCCCACUGGUUCUCCUCUUCCCCACUGGAUGGCGACACCAUGGAGGCCAUGCUCGCUCGAAUCCUCACAGUCCGAGAGCUGCAGGACAGAAGGUCGCAGAGCUUCGGCCCAACGGACAACAGACGACACCACGUUCACAUGUUUUUGUUAAAGUUGUUAAAGACAUUCUUUCUGAUAGAAACUGUAAAGAAGAGACAUCUUCAUCAAGACUUCCGGUUCUGACGCAAUUCACUUCUCUCCAGUCGCUGCACAUUCAUGUUUUAUUUCUUGUUUCCUUUCAGUCGGUUGAAUGUCAACACUUUCAGUUGUGACCUGAGAUCUGCGUCAUUUUAUUUGGAAUAAAGAAGAAAGUUUUGAAAAGUUA